CUUCGGCGGGCCCGCCUCACGGCCGCCGGGGGGCAUCCGCCCCCGGGCCCGCGCCCGCCGAAGACACCUGUGAACUCUGUCUGAAGUUGCAGUCUGAGAAACUAUUUAAAUUAGUUAAAACUUUCAACAACGGAUCUCUUGGUUCCGGCAUCGAUGAAGAACGCAGCGAAAUGCGAUAAAUAAUGUGAAUUGCAGAAUUCAGUGAAUCAUCGAGUCUUUGAACGCACAUUGCGCCCUCUGGUAUUCCGGAGGGCAUGCCUGUCCGAGCGUCAUUGCUGCCCUCAAGCACGGCUUGUGUGUUGGGCCCCGUCCCCCCCCUCCCGGGGGGACGGGCCCGAAAGGCAGCGGCGGCACCGCGUCCGGUCCUCGAGCGUAUGGGGCUUUGUCACCCGCUCUUGUAGGCCCGGCCGGCGCUUGCCGACCCCCUCAAUCUAUUUUUCAGGUUGACCUCGGAUCAGGUAGGGAUACCCGCUGAACUUAAGCAUAUCAAUAAGCGGAGGAAAAGAAACCAACCGGGAUUACCCUAGUAACGGCGAGUGAAGCGGUAAGAGCUCAAAUUUGAAAGCUGGCCCCUUCGGGGUCCGCAUUGUAAUUUGCAGAGGAUGCUUCGGGAGCGGUCCCCAUCUAAGUGCCCUGGAACGGGCCGUCAUAGAGGGUGAGAAUCCCGUAUGGGAUGGGGUGCCCGCGCCCGUGUGAAGCUCCUUCGACGAGUCGAGUUGUUUGGGAAUGCAGCUCUAAUUGGGUGGUAAAUUUCAUCUAAAGCUAAAUAUUGGCCGGAGACCGAUAGCGCACAAGUAGAGUGAUCGAAAGAUGAAAAGCACUUUGAAAAGAGAGUUAAAAAGCACGUGAAAUUGUUGAAAGGGAAGCGCUUGCGAUCAGACUCGCUCGCGGGGUUCAGCCGGCCUUCGGGCCGGUGUACUUCCCCGCGGGCGGGCCAGCGUCGGUUUGGGCGGCCGGUCAAAGGCCCCUGGA
rnacentral:rRNA from 1 species